rnacentral:rRNA from 1 species
UACGUAGGGGGCGAGCGUUGUCCGGAUUCAUUGGGCGUAAAGAGCUCGUAGGCGGCUUGGCAAGUCGGGUGUGAAAACUCCAGGCUCAACCUGGAGAUGCCACCCGAUACUGCUAUGGCUUGAGUUCGGUAGGGGACCACGGAAUUCCUGGUGUAGCGGUGAAAUGCGCAGAUAUCAGGAGGAACACCGGUGGCGAAGGCGGGUCUCUGGGCCGAUAUUGACGCUGAGGAGCGAAAGCGUGGGGAGCGAACAGG